AGGAACGCGAAGAACCUUACCAGGUCUUGACAUCCUUUGAAGCUUUUAGAGAUAGAAGUGUUCUCUUCGGAGACAAAGUGACAGGUGGUGCAUGGUCGUCGUCAGCUCGUGUCGUGAGAUGUUGGGUUAAGUCCCGCAACGAGCGCAACCCUUAUUGUUAGUUGCCAGCAUUCAGUUGGGCACUCUAGCGAGACUGCCGGUGACAAACCGGAGGAAGGCGGGGACGACGUCAGAUCAUCAUGCCCCUUAUGACCUGGGCUACACACGUGCUACAAUGGCGUAUACAACAAGUUGCCAACCUGCGAAGGUGAGCUAAUCUCUUAAAGUACGUCUCAGUAUCGGACUGCAGUCAUCUACUCGUCUGCUCAGAAGUCGGAAUCGCAUGAUAAUCGCGUAGUAAGCACGCGCGCUUGAAAUAAUAUUACUGGG
rnacentral:rRNA from 1 species